AACAGAGACCAUCAUCGUCUUCUCUUCUUCUACUUCUCCGCCUUCCCUGUGUAAAUUUUGAGAGAGAGAGAGAGAGAGAGAGAGAGAAAGGGGGUGGGUUGCUAUUUACAUUUAGUUACAGGGAGGAAUUGAUUCCCUUCUUUUCUCAACCAUAUUGUGGAGCGAGUCCUCUUAACAUGAUCCACAAAGAGAAGAUGCCUGUUAUGAAAACAAAUCAUUGUCAGAAAAA